rnacentral:rRNA from 1 species
UUUCAUAGCAAACUGCUUAAUAACACAUGAUCAACCUACCCUAUGGAGGGAACUAACCUCGGGAAACUGAGGAUAAUGUCCCAUAGCAGAUUCGGCUUGGAAAAGUGUAUCUGUGAAAGGGAUACGGAAUAGUCCGUAUGUGCCAUAGGAUGGGAUUGUGGUCGAUUAGGUAGUUGGUGAGGUAAUGGCUCACCAAGCCGAUAAUCGAUAGGGGCCGUGAGAGCGGGAGCCCCAAGAUGGGUACUGAGACAGCGACCCAGGCCCUACGGGGCGCAGCAGGCGCGAAACCUCCACAAUGCACGAAAGUGCGAUGGGGCUACCCAAAGUGCUCCACAAGGAGCUGUGGUGGAUGAGUAAUGUUCUCCACUAGAAAGGAGAGGGCAAGGCUGGUGCCAGCCGCCGCGGUAAAACCAGCUCUUCAAGUGGUCGGGAUAAUUAUUGGGCUUAAAGUGUCCGUAGCUGGUGAGGUAAGUUCCUGGUAAAAUUGGGCAGCUUAACUGUCCUUAUGCUAGGGAUACUGCCUUACUAGAGGGCGGGAGAAGUCUGAGGUACUACAGGGGUAGGGGUGAAAUCUUAUA